AGUUAAGACCAGUUCCUUGCUGGGAAGCCCUAACUCUGGAGGGACAGAGACAGGUGUCUGAGCUGGGUGAAUUCCAGCCUGGGGAGAGGACUUUGAUCACCAGAUGUUUUUUUGGUGUGCGUGCUGUCUUAUGGUUGCGUGGCGGGUUUCUGCUUCAGAUGCAGAGCACUGUCCAGAACUUCCUCCAGUGGACAAUAGCAUAUUUGUCGCAAAGGAGGUGGAAGGACAGAUUCUGGGGACUUACGUUUGUAUCAAGGGCUACCACCUGGUAGGAAAGAAGACCCUUUUUUGCAAUGCCUCUAAGGAGUGGGAUAACACCACUACUGAGUGCCGCUUGGGCCACUGUCCUGAUCCUGUGCUGGUGAAUGGAGAGUUCAGUUCUUCAGGGCCUGUGAAUGUAAGUGACAAAAUCACGUUUAUGUGCAAUGACCACUACAUCCUCAAGGGCAGCAAUUGGAGCCAGUGUCUAGAGGACCACACCUGGGCACCUCCCUUUCCCAUCUGCAAAAGUAGUAAGUACAAGAGAAACCAUCAAGGAUCCCCAAAAUACUGAUUAGUAGUCUA
rnacentral:sRNA from 1 species